AUCAUGGCUCAGGAUGAACGCUAGCUACAGGCUUAACACAUGCAAGUCGAGGGGCAGCAUAACGAAAGCUUGCUUUGUUGAUGGCGACCGGCGCACGGGUGAGUAACGCGUAUCCAACCUUCCCCAUAGUAGAGGAUAGCCCGGCGAAAGUCGGAUUAAUACUCUAUGUUGUAUUUUGAGGACAUCUGACGAAUACCAAAGAUUGAUCGCUAUGGGAUGGGGAUGCGUCUGAUUAGCUUGUUGGCGGGGUAACGGCCCACCAAGGCGACGAUCAGUAGGGGUUCUGAGAGGAAGGUCCCCCACAUUGGUACUGAGACACGGACCAAACUCCUACGGGAGGCAGCAGUGAGGAAUAUUGGUCAAUGGACGAGAGUCUGAACCAGCCAAGUAGCGUGCAAGGAUGACUGCCCUAUGGGUUGUAAACUGCUUUUAUGCGGGAAUAAAGUCAGGUACGCGUACCUGUUUGUAUGUACCGCAUGAAUAAGGACCGGCUAAUUCCGUGCCAGCCGCCGC
rnacentral:rRNA from 1 species